AUUGAACGCUGGCGGCAUGCCUUACACAUGCAAGUCGAACGGUAACAGGUUAAGCUGACGAGUGGCGAACGGGUGAGUAAUGUAUCGGAACGUGCCCAGUCGUGGGGGAUAACUACUCGAAAGAGUGGCUAAUACCGCAUACGACCUGAGGGUGAAAGCGGGGGACCGUAAGGCCUCGCGCGAUUGGAGCGGCCGAGAUCAGAUUAGCUAGUUGGUGGGGUAAAAGCCCACCAAGGCGACGAUCUGUAGCUGGUCUGAGAGGACGACUAGCCACACUGGGACUGAGACACGGCCCAGACUCCUACGGGAGGCAGCAGUGGGUAAUUUUGGACAAUGGACGCAAGUCUGAUCCAGCCAUGCCGCGUGCGGGAAGAAGGCCUUCGGGUUGUAAACCGCUUUUGUCAGGGAAGAAACGAGUUUCUCUAAUACAGAGACUUAAUGACGGUACCUGAAGAAUAAGCACCGGCUAACUACGUGCCAGCCGCCGCGGUAACAC
rnacentral:rRNA from 1 species